CAAUAGCGUAUAUUAAAGUUGUUGCGGUUAAAAAGCUCGUAGUUGGAUUUCUGUUGAGGACGGCCGGUCCGCACUAUGUGCGUGUAUCUGGUUCGGCCUCGGCAUCCUCUCGAAAGCCGUUUCUGCGCUUGAUUGCGUGGUUCGGACUUCGGGACUUUUACUUUGAGGAAAUUAGAGUGUUCACGGCAGGCAAGCGCCUUGAAUAUAUUAGCAUGGAAUAAUAAUAUAGGAUCUUGGUCCUAUUUUGUUGGUUUCUAGGGCUAAGAUAAUGAUUAAUAGGGACAAUUGGGGGCAUUCGUAUUAACGCGUCAGAGGUGGAAUUCUUGGAUUGCGUUACGACGAACUACCGCGAAAGCAUUUGCCAAGGAUGUUUUCAUUG
rnacentral:rRNA from 1 species